GACAGAGGCCUCGAGCGUUAGGCGGAAUCACUGGGCUUAAAGCGUGUGUAGGCGGAUCGUUAAGUGCCUUGUGAAAUCCCACGGCUUAACUGUGGAACGGCUGGGCAUACUGGCGGUCUUGAGCCAUCUAGGGGCGACUGGAACAAACGGUGGAGCGGUGAAAUGCGUAGAUAUUGGGAAGAACACCUAUGGCGAAGGCAGCUCUCUGGGACGGUACUGACGCUGAGACGCGAAAGCGUGGGGAGCGAACAGG
rnacentral:rRNA from 1 species